rnacentral:rRNA from 1 species
UACGGAGGGAGCUAGCGUUAUUCGGAAUUACUGGGCGUAAAGCGCACGUAGGCGGCUUUGUAAGUUAGAGGUGAAAGCCUGGAGCUCAACUCCAGAAUUGCCUUUAAGACUGCAUCGCUUGAAUCCAGGAGAGGUGAGUGGAAUUCCGAGUGUAGAGGUGAAAUUCGUAGAUAUUCGGAAGAACACCUGCGGCGAAGGCGGGUUGCUGGGCUGACACUGACGCUGAUGCGCGAAAGCUAGGGGAGCGAACGGG